CAGUCGAGCGAUCUUCUUCGGAAGAGAGCGGCGGACGGGUGAGUAACGCGUGGGUAACCUGCCCUGUACACACGGAUAACAUACCGAAAGGUAUGCUAAUACGGGAUAACAUAAGAAAUUCGCAUGUUUUUCUUAUCAAAGCUCCGGCGGUACAGGAUGGACCCGCGUCUGAUUAGCUAGUUGGUGAGGUAACGGCUCACAAAGGCGACGAUCAGUAGCCGACCUGAGAGGGUGAUCGGCCACAUUGGAACUGAGACACGGUCCAAACUCCUGCGGGAGGCAGCAGUGGGGAAUAUUGCACAAUGGGCGAAAGCCUGAUGCAGCAACGCCGCGUGAGCGAUGAAGGCCUUCGGGUCGUAAAGCUCUGUCCUCAAGGAAGAUAAUGACGGUACUUGAGGAGGAAGCCCCGGCUAACUACGUGCCAGCAGCCGCGGUAAUACGUAGGGGGCUAGCGUUAUCCGGAUUUACUGGGCGUAAAGGGUGCGUAGGCGGUCUUUUAAGUCUGAUGUGAAAGCCUUCGGCUUGACCGGAGUAGUGCAUUGGAAACUGGGAGACUUGAGUGCAGAAGAGGAGAGUGGAACUCCAUGUGUAGCGGUGAAAUGCGUAGAUAUAUGGAAGAACACCAGUGGCGAAAGCGGCUCUCUGGUCUGUAACUGACGCUGAGGUUCGAAAGCGUGGGUAGCAAACAGGAUUAGAUACCCUGGUAGUCCACGCCGUAAACGAUGAAUGCUAAGUGUUGGAGGGUUUCCGCCCUUCAGUGCUGCGGCUAACGCAAUAAGCAUUCCGCCUGGGGAGUACGA
rnacentral:rRNA from 1 species